rnacentral:rRNA from 1 species
AUACGUAGGGGGCAAGCGUUAUCCGGAAUUACUGGGUGUAAAGGGAGAGUAGGCGGCAUGAUAAGUUAGAUGUGAAAGCCUUGGGCUUAACCCGAGGAUUGCAUUUAAAACUAUCAAGCUAGAGUACAGGAGAGGUAAGUGGAAUUCCUAGUGUAGCGGUGAAAUGCGUAGAUAUUAGGAAGAACACCAGUGGCGAAGGCGACUUACUGGACUGAUACUGACACUGAGGAGCGAAAGCGUGGGGAGC